rnacentral:misc_RNA from 1 species
GAUGAAGAACGCAGCGAAAUGCGAUAAGUAAUGUGAAUUGCAGAAUUCAGUGAAUCAUCGAAUCUUUGAACGCACCUUGCGCUCUUUGGUAUUCCGAAGAGCAUGCCUGUUUGAGUGUCAUGAAAAUAUCAACCUUGACUUGGGUUUUGUGCUCUAGUCUCGGCUUGGAAUUGGGUGCUUGCCGCUUUUACGAGCGGCUCACCUUAAAUGUAUUAGCUGGAUCUGUCUUUGAGACUUGGUUUGACUUGGCGUAAUAAGUAUUUCGCUAAGGACAUUCUUCGGAGUGGCCGCGUUUCUAGGACGCUUGUCCGCUUUCCAAUACAAGUUCCACCUCGUGGACAUGACUUUUUAUUAUCUGGCCUCAAAUCAGGUAGGACUACCCGCUGAACUUAAGCAUAUCAAUAAGCGGAGGA